rnacentral:rRNA from 1 species
UAAUACGUAGGGGGCAAGCGUUGUCCGGAUUCAUUGGGCGUAAAGGGCUCGUAGGCGGUUUGUCGCGUCUGCUGUGAAAACGCGAGGCUCAACCUCGCGCCUGCAGUGGGUACGGGCAGACUGGAGUGCGGUAGGGGAGAUUGGAAUUCCUGGUGUAGCGGUGGAAUGCGCAGAUAUCAGGAGGAACACCGAUGGCGAAGGCAGAUCUCUGGGCCGUAACUGACGCUGAGGAGCGAAAGCGUGGGGAGCGAACAGGA